rnacentral:rRNA from 1 species
UACAUAGCUUAAUGAGGGGAACUCAGGGAACUGAAACAUCUAAGUACCUGAAGGAAGAGAAAGAAAUUCGAUUCCGUAAGUAGCGGCGAGCGAACGCGGAUUAGCCCAAACCAAUAAAGUUUUCUUUAUUGGGGUUGCGGACAUAUCAUAACGAAGAGGUAUCGUAAUUGAAGAGGUUUGGAAAGACCCACCACAGAAGGUAAUAGUCCUGUAUGUUAAACGAGAAGACUUUAGAUAUGAUCCAGAGUACCACGGGAAACGUGAAACCCUGUGGGAAGCAGGAGGGACCACCCUCCAAGGCUAAAUACUACCUAGUGACCGAUAGCGUAUAGUACCGUGAGGGAAAGGUGAAAAGAACCCCGGGAGGGGAGUGAAAUAGAACCUGAAACCCUGCACUUACAAGCUGUGGAAGCACAUUUCUUGUGUGACCGCGUACUUUUUGUAGAACGGGCCAACGAGUUACGUUAAGUAGCA